AAUAUUGCGCAAUGGGCGAAAGCCUGACGCAGCGACGCCGCGUGGGGGAUGAAGGCCUUCGGGUUGUAAACCCCUUUCAGGAGGGAAGAAAUUGACGGUACCUCCAAAAGAAGCCCCGGCCAACUACGUGCCAGCAGCCGCGGUAAGACGUAGGGGGCGAGCGUUGUCCGGAAUCAUUGGGCGUAAAGGGCUCGUAGGCGGCUCGGUAAGUCAAUCGUGAAAUCCCGGAGCUCAACUCCGGAACUGCGGUCGGUACUGCCGUGGCUAGAGUCAGGUAGAGGAGAGUAGAAUUCCCGGUGUAGCGGUGGAAUGCGCAGAUAUCGGGAGGAAUACCAUUUAGCGAAGGCGGCUCUCUGGGCCUGUACUGACGCUGAGGAGCGAAAGCGUGGGUAGCAAACAGGAUUAGAUACCCUGGUAGUCCACGCCGUA
rnacentral:rRNA from 1 species